CGGGACGUGGCGCAGCUUGGUAGCGCGCUACCUUGGGGUGGUAGAGGCCGCGGGUUCAAGUCCCGCCGUUCCGACCA
rnacentral:tRNA from 1 species